AUUGAACGCUGGCGGCAUGCUUUACACAUGCAAGUCGAACGGCAGCGCGGGCUUCGUCCUGGCGGCGAGUGGCGAACGGGUGAGUAAUGCAUCGGAACGUGCCCAGUAGUGGGGGAUAGCCCGGCGAAAGCCGGAUUAAUACCGCAUACGACCUGAUGGUGAAAGCGGGGGACCGAAAGGCCUCGCGCUAUUGGAGCGGCCGAUGUCGGAUUAGCUAGUUGGUGGGGUAAAGGCUUACCAAGGCGACGAUCCGUAGCUGGUCUGAGAGGACGACCAGCCACACUGGGACUGAGACACGGCCCAGACUCCUACGGGAGGCAGCAGUGGGGAAUUUUGGACAAUGGGGGCAACCCUGAUCCAGCCAUGCCGCGUGCGGGAAGAAGGUCUUCGGGUUGUAAACCGCUUUUGUUCGGGAAGAAAUCCUCUGGGCUAAUACACCGGGGGGAUGACGGUACCGGAAGAAUAAGCACCGGCUAACUACGUG
rnacentral:rRNA from 1 species